UCAUUCUAUGUCUUUUCCCUUUUUUUAUCUUCUCAAUUAUGGGUUUCUUCUUUCAAGGCUAGACCUUGCUCUUCUCUCUCUCUCUCUCUCUCUCUCUCUCUCUCUGUAGAGAGGGAGGUCAUCUCCUUACUGGUUAGUCGGUUUCUCCUCCAUAGAUUUUGAUGGUGGAGUAGCAAACGGUGAAUGAUCUUAUGGCACAAAAGAGACAGACUUUUUGCAAAUCUGCUCCAUUUGUGUGGUUAUAAGGUUGCUCGAGCAUUGCCAUGGACUAGGCACGAGAGAGUUCUUGUUGUUGGGUGUCGAAGGAGGAAAUAUUCAUAGGAUUUGAAGAGUCAACCGAACAUGGUGUUGUCGCCCUGGCUAAAUAAGAUUGAGAUGCCAGCGAGACUCUACCCGACCUUGCUUCCUCCGUUGUGCGGUUUGCCAGUCUGAGUUCAAGUGGUUUUAUAAACCCAUGGUUUCCUGAAGGCAUGAUGCAAGUUGUUUGUAGGCGGAUUUGUUAUUGUUAUAGGUCAUCAACCCAUUUUGGCUGCCUAGGGUUUUUUUUGGUGGAGCUGGGAGAUCUGGUUGGAUUUAUUAUAAUGUUUGGGCCCAUGAUGAGUUUUUGGUAGUUAUAGUUAAGCCAUGGAACCUUUUUUUAAAAUUUGUAUUCUCUGCCUUGCAAGACCUACUAAUGAAUGAACCUUUAUUUUUUAUUACAAAAAAAAAAAAAUUA